GAUGAACGCUGGCGGCGUGCUUAACACAUGCAAGUCGAACGAUGAAGCCCAGCUUGCUGGGUGGAUUAGUGGCGAACGGGUGAGUAACACGUGAGCAACCUGCCCCUGACUCUGGGAUAAGCGCUGGAAACGGCGUCUAAUACUGGAUAUGUCCCGUCACCGCAUGGUGUGCGGGUGGAAAGAUUUUUCGGUUGGGGAUGGGCUCGCGGCCUAUCAGCUUGUUGGUGAGGUAAUGGCUCACCAAGGCGUCGACGGGUAGCCGGCCUGAGAGGGUGGCCGGCCACACUGGGACUGAGACACGGCCCAGACUCCUACGGGAGGCAGCAGUGGGGAAUAUUGCACAAUGGGCGGAAGCCUGAUGCAGCAACGCCGCGUGAGGGAUGACGGCCUUCGGGUUGUAAACCUCUUUUAGCAGGGAAGAAGCGAAAGUGACGGUACCUGCAGAAAAAGCACCGGCUAACUACGUG
rnacentral:rRNA from 1 species